GACGAACGCUGGCGGCGUGCUUAACACAUGCAAGUCGAACGGAAAGGCCCCUUUGGGGGUACUCGAGUGGCGAACGGGUGCGUAACACGUGAGUAACCUGCCCUUGACUUCGGGAUAACUUCAGGAAACUGGGGCUAAUACCGGAUAGGAAUCCUUGCUGCAUGGUGGGGGUUGGAAAGCUUCGGCGGUUUUGGAUGGACUCGCGGCUUAUCAGCUUGUUGGUGGGGUAGUGGCUUACCAAGGCUUUGACGGGUAGCCGGCCUGAGAGGGCGACCGGCCACAUUGGGACUGAGAGACGGCCCAGACUCCUACGGGAGGCAGCAGGGGGGAAGAUUGCACAAUGGGCGGAAGCCUGAUGCAGCAACGCCGCGUGCGGGAUGACGGUCUUCGGGUUGUAAACCGCUUUCAGCAGGGGCGAAGCUUGUGGUGACGGUACCUGCAGAAGAAGCACCGGCUAACUACGUG
rnacentral:rRNA from 1 species